ensembl:lncRNA
CAGUAUCUUGAUAAUGUUUAAAGAUAAUAUUGUGACUGUUUCUCAUGUUCUCUGAUUGUUCUGUAUUAUAGGCUCUUUCUUGAGCCAGCGUGGUGCUGUAUCUGAGACAGACUGUCAUCCAUGUACCCCUGGAUUCUACUGUCCAGACUGGGGUCAGAGCUCUGCGGAGCUCCACUGUCCUGAGGGCAGUUUCUGUCCGGCAGGUUCUGUAACAGGACAUCAGCCCGGCCGUCAGUGUACGUCUGGUCACGCGUGUCCGUAUGGCAGCAUCCAGCCUGCCAUCUGUCUGCCUGGUACUUAUCAGCCUCUGCCAUCCCAGCCUUCCUGCAAACCAUGCCCACCAGGUUUUUACUGUUUGGAGGGUUGCACCACCCCGCUUCCCUGCCCUGUGGGCACGGCAAGUAUGAUUGAGGGGUUGCAAUCUCAGCUGGAUUGCUCUCCAUGUCCUCCCGGAUUCUACUGUAACACUAGUGCACUAAUCAGCCCCACUGGACCCUGCUCUGCAGGCCAUUUCUGUUCAUCUGGAGCCACAGAGCCUGCCCCAGUCUCUCAGAUGUAUGGAGAUAUAUGUCCAGCAGGACAUUACUGCCCCGAGCAGAGCAGUGCUCCAUUACCCUGUCUUGUCGGUUUCAUUCUCCAGUUCAAAGGAGCCACUUCUUCUAAUGACUGCUCCCCUUGCCCUCCAAGCAGAUACUGCAUUGCACCAGGCUCCUCUCAGCCUUCAGGGUUUUGCGCUCCAGGUCACUAUUGCAUCGGUAGCACAGAUACUGCCACACCUCAGGCCUCACCGUCUCAGCAGACCUGUUUUUGUGACCUCAUACAUUCAUCCCACCUCCAAAUGUACGAUCUUUGCUUUCUGAAGCACAACAUAACCUGCUCAAUUCACAUUUCAGGAGAUGCUGCUGGAGUCUGGACUGAUCUGGAUCCCAGACCUCAGUCUGAGGGUUAUUCAGAAUCACCUCUACAAAUCGCAGAAACAUGCACUGGCUUCAAAGGAGACCUGUGUCCUAAAGGUAUACAAUGCACACUGGUAUAUUUGUUAUUAAAAUAUCUAAUUAAUAGGGUUGAUCACCCAAAAUAG